rnacentral:rRNA from 1 species
UACGAAAGGGGCUAGCGUUGUUCGGAAUUACUGGGCGUAAAGCGCGCGUAGGCGGCCUAGCAAGUUGGGGGUCAAAGCCCAGGGCUCAACCCUGGAAUUGCCUCCAAAACUGCUAAGCUCGAGGCCGAGAGGGGAGUGUGGAAUUCCUAGUGUAGAGGUGAAAUUCGUAGAUAUUAGGAAGAACACCGGUGGCGAAGGCGACCCUCUGGCUCGGUACUGACGCUGAGGCGCGAAAGCUUGGGGAGCAAACAGG